GCCUAGCCUAGUGGUCAACGCACUGCUCUCUUGCUGCAGAGACCUGGGUUCGACUCCAGUGUCGGCC
rnacentral:tRNA from 1 species